rnacentral:rRNA from 1 species
UGACCUCGGAUCAGGUAGGAAUACCCGCUGAACUUAAGCAUAUCAAUAAAGCCGGAGGAAA